rnacentral:rRNA from 1 species
UACGUAGGUGGCAAGCGUUGUCCGGAUUUACUGGGCGUAAAGAGCGCGCAGGCGGUCGUUCAAGUCGCGUGUGAAAGCCCCCGGCUCAACUGGGGAGGGUCACGCGAUACUGAUCGACUCGAAGGCAGGAGAGGGAAGUGGAAUUCCCGGUGUAGUGGUGAAAUGCGUAGAUAUCGGGAGGAAGACCAGAGGCGAAGGCGGCGACCUGGACAAGUACUGACACUCAACUACGAAAGCGUGGGUAGCAAACAGG